rnacentral:rRNA from 1 species
UACAGAGGUCUCAAGCGUCGUUCGGAUUCAUUGGGCGUAAAGGGUGCGUAGGUGGCGCCGUUAGUCAGGUGUGAAAUUUCGGAGCUUAACUCCGAAACUGCAUUUGAUACUGCGGUGCUUGAGGACUGGAGAGGAGACUGGAAUUUACGGUGUAGCAGUGAAAUGCGUAGAUAUCGGGAGGAACACCAGUGGCGAAGGCGGCGACCUGGACGGACAUUGACGCUGAGACGCGAAAGCGUGGGGAGCAAACAGG